GAUGAACGCUAGCGAUAGGCCUAACACAUGCAAGUCGAGGGGCAUCACAUGAAGUAGCAAUACGGAUGGUGGCGACCGGCGCACGGGUGAGUAACACGUAUGCAACCUGCCUUCAACAAGGGGAUAACCCGUUGAAAGACGGACUAAUACCCUAUAACACAGGGGUCCCGCAUGGGGAUAUUUGUUAAAGAUUUAUCGGUUGAAGAUGGGCAUGCGUUCCAUUAGCUAGUUGGCGGGGUAACGGCCCACCAAGGCAACGAUGGAUAGGGGAACUGAGAGGUUUAUCUCCCACACUGGUACUGAGACACGGACCAGACUCCUACGGGAGGCAGCAGUGAGGAAUAUUGGUCAAUGGACGCAAGUCUGAACCAGCCACGUCGCGUGAAGGAAGACGGCCCUACGGGUUGUAAACUUCUUUUAUACGGGAAUAAAGUGCCCCACGCGUGGGGUUUUGCAUGUACCGUAUGAAUAAGGAUCGGCUAACUCCGUGCCAGCAGCCGCGGUAAUUCACACU
rnacentral:rRNA from 1 species